rnacentral:sRNA from 1 species
GACCCGACAGUGCCUCUCCCAGUGUCUCCAAUGUCAAUUCUUGAAGCUGCCUCGCUUUUCUACCAGUUUCCAGUAAUUCCAGGGCUCAAAAUGUAUCCAAGAAUCACCGCAGAGCAAGAGUACGGUGGAGCACACUUGCAACACCUAAAAUUCGAAUUUUUUUGCAGAAACGUGUCCCGUGUCUCGCUGGCUCCACUGGUGACGAGCACAAUGUUGGAACAAUGGCAAGAGUGCUACGCGGAGCUCUACAGCUCGUAUAAAAAGGGACAACGUGGCAGUUUUUACGUGGCGACUGCUGUUUGCAACGUGCUUUUUACGAAAAUGCCGUUGUCGGGUGGUGGUGAUGAUGUGGCGGCAGAUGACACGUCACAAUCUUGCUCGCAGGCUUUUCGAGGGCAGAAGCUUGUCGCUGUGAUCACUCAUACGACGUCGGCGAUCCGAGAGCAUUUGAGAAGCCAGGG